ACUCGAGUGGCGAACGGGUGAGUAACACGUGGGUGAUCUGCCCUGCACUUCGGGAUAAGCUUGGGAAACUGGGUCUAAUACCGGAUAGGAGCCACCUUUAGUGUGGUGGUUGGAAAGUUUUUUCGGUGUAGGAUGAGCUCGCGGCCUAUCAGCUUGUUGGUGGGGUAAUGGCCUACCAAGGCGGCGACGGGUAGCCGGCCUGAGAGGGUGUACGGCCACAUUGGGACUGAGAUACGGCCCAG
rnacentral:rRNA from 1 species